CUUACACUAGGGAAUAUGAUAUUUGAGGAGAUAAAAGUAAAAAUCCUUACUAGACACCCUGUUCCAAGUUAUUAUGCAAAUUCUAUUUAAGUGUCACAAAGAUGAAAUAUUUUGUUUUUCAGUUUAACUCAUGGAUGGCAUUGUGUCUCAGGGCUCUUUUCAUCACUGAAAACAAUCUCUGACACCUGUGAUAAUUAGAUUGCCAGGUGAGCCCAAUUAAAGGAAAAGCUACUAAAGGAGGGUGUUCCACAUUAUUAAGCAGAGCACCAUUUUUAUGCAAUAUGGGGAAGAGAAAGGAUCUCUCUGCUGCC